rnacentral:rRNA from 1 species
GAUUUUCGCAAUGCCCGAAAGGGUGACGAAGCGACGCCGCGUGCGGGAAGAAGGCCUUCGGGUUGUAAACCGCUGUCGGGAGUUAAGAAAUGUAAGGAUGUUAAUAGCAUCUUUGCUUGACUAAGGCUCCGGAGGAAGCCACGGCUAACUCUGUGCCAGCAGCCGCGGUAAUACAGAGGCGGCAAGCGUUGUUCGGAAUUAUUGGGCGUAAAGAGCACGUAGGCGGCUAUGUAAGUCGGUUGUGAAAGCCUUCCGCUCAACGGGAGAACAGCAUCCGAUACUGCAUGGCUUGAGUGCGGGAGGGGAGAGUGGAACUUCUGGUGGAGCGGUGAAAUGCGUAGAUAUCAGAAGGAACGCCGGCGGCGAAAGCGGCUCUCUGGUCCGUAACUGACGCUGAGUGUGCGAAAGCUAGGGGAGCAAACGGGAUUAGAUACCCCCGGUAGUCCUAGCCGUAAACGAUGGGCACUAAGUAGAGGGGUUUUAAUC